UGCAAUACUUGUCAUGGAAGGGUCCAUUCCUUGAAUCUUGGUGGCAUGGAUCUUAAGGGUUGGAGACUUUGGAUUGGAACUCUAAUAUCAUUGAAGGUACCAUUCCACCUGAGAUAGGAAGUCUAAAGCACUUGAAGAAUUUACAACUUUCAAGGAACAAACUUUCAGGAGCAAUUCCCCAAACAA